CAACACUACGUAAAAAAGGAUAUGCCUUCCGGACUCUCGUUUACAUGGCCCCGCCGUCGUCUUCUCCUCCCCUUCCGGCAUGGGCGGCGGCGAACGCCCUCUUCCGACGCCACCGCCGCCUUCUCCCGCUCCUCCUUCCCCCGGUGUCCCUCUGCGCCCUCCUACCCGUCCUCUCCCACUGCCUCGUUUCCGGCCUCGCCGGCAACCCCUUCGUCGCCUCCCGCCUCAUCCUCGCCUCCUCGCGCCUCUCCCUCACAUUCUCCCUCCUCCUCCUCUCCCACCUUCCAGCCUCUUCCCUCUCGCCCUUCUCCUUCAACUCGCUCAUACGCGCGUCGCCUCCAGGCCUCACCCUCCGCCUGUUCGAACAAAUGCGCCGCCGGGGCGUUCCCACGGAUAACUACACCCUCCCCUUCUUGAUCCAUGCCUGUUCCGGCAGUGACAUGGCACUGGGACAGUCCCUGCACGGGAAGAGCGUCCGUCUUGGUUACAGCUCCCACAUCUUCACGCAGACGGCGCUGAUGAACAUGUACUUUGGGUGUGGCUUGGCUGUUUCCGCCGGCAGGGUGUUCGAUGAAAUGCAGGCGAGGGAUGUGGUUGCAUGGACCGGCAUGGUCUCUGGUUAUGUGGACUCUGGAAUGCACCUUCGAGCUGCUGAGGUCUUUAAGGAGAUGAGAGGCGGUGAGGAGGUUACAAGGCCUAAUGUAGCAACGUUGGUGUCGGUUGCUUCUGCGUAUGCCAGUCUUGGCUCCCUGGAGUAUGCUAAGGGGCUGCACGGCUAUGUGGAGAAGGUGGGGUUGCGAGGCGAUUUGAUUCUGACGAAUGCACUGAUGGAUAUGUAUGGAAAGUGUGGUAGCAUAGAGUCAGCUCGUGCUCUGUUUGAUUUCAUGCAUGAGAAGGACCUACUUUCAUGGACAACGAUGAUUUCAGGGUUGGCUUCUCAUGGACAUGGCAAAGAAGCGGUUGCUUUGUUUUUAAGCAUGCGCGAGGUGGGAGUACUGCCGGACUCAACCACCUUCAUCGUGGUUCUGUCUGCUUGUAGCCAUGCUGGACUGGUGGAUGAGGGGAUAUCAAUCUUCAAUUCCAUGGCGAGUGAGUACAAGGUCACCCCAGAUAUUAAGCACUAUGGUUGCAUGGUGGAUCUUUUCAGCAGGGCAGGACUUCUUUCACGUGCUUAUGAGCUUAUUGAUAGCAUGCCUUUUGAGCCAAACUUGGCAAUUCUUGGAGCAUUGCUGAGUGCAUGCAGUGUCAAUAAUGAACUGGAGAUUGGGGAACUAGUUCUCCAGAAGAUUGAUUCUGUUUGCUCCUAUAAAGGAGGUGCUGGUGUGCUUCUGUCCAACAUCUACGCUAACCAGAACUUAUGGCAUGAAGUUGAUUCCAUUAGAAGGAAGAUAAGAAAUGGUACCAUACCCAGAAAGCCACCUGGUCAGAGUUCGGUGGCAUCAGAAGUUCCUUUCAUGAGUUUGUGAUUUGGAGCUUUUAGAGAGAAAUCCACUUUGUUGUCACUGUUAACCUUGACUGGCAAAAUGGCUGAUUUUCAUGCGAACUGGAGAUGAGGUCUCUCGGCAGCAUAUUUCGCAGAUUAGCUUUCCAUAGCGCGCACAGAAACACUAAACUUCAUACGCAAACUUCUUCCCCUCACCAACUCCCCCUUAUCAUUUAGGAGAUAAGACAAAGUAUACCAUCUUAUUCACCGUUUCCAUCCGAACAAAUACACACCAUGCACUCAUACACCCAGGCGUGAUGCCUUCUUGCAGCAUUUUCACGGAGAAAGCCUGAGGCUGAACCAGUCAAAUGCAUUGUACUUAAACUGCCUUACAAAUCGCCUGGCUGGGGAUCGAAAUGUGUGGCCAGGGCCAGGGCUCAUGCGUGUGCUGUAACUUCGAGCUUCUUCGUUAACAACACAAGGACGCCCAGAACUUGUCCUUCCGGUAAAAGAAUUCAUGUUCCUGAACUGAGCUGGAGAAGUAUGCCAUCAGAGGCCCGUGAGCAUGUUACUCCCUCCUUUCCGGUUUAAACCCACACGCAUCCCUAGAUCGGCAAUUCGGCCAGUGUAAUACAAAUUGUAUAUUACCAAAGCUAUAUCAUUAAAAAAAUGUCACAUGUGAAGUCGCUAACGGUAUAUUUUUGUGAUAUAUAAACAUUGCUCAAAUCGUUGAUCUAGGUAUAUGCGUGGGCCUUUUAAACCAGGAAGAAGGUACUCCCUCCGUUUCAUAAUGUAGUGCAUAUAGAUAUUUUAAGAAGUCAAACUUUAUUAAUUUUGACCAAAUUUAUAGAGAAAAUAAUGUACAUCUAGAAUACCAAAUACAUAUCAUUAGAUACAUCACAAGACGUAAUUUCGUAUUGUAUAUAUUUGAUGUUGUAGAUAUAAAUAGUUUUUUAUUUAAACUUGAUCAAAAUUUGUAAAGUUUGACUUUGCGGAAAAUCUAUAUGGACCAAGUCAAA